GACGAACGCUGGCGGCGUGCUUAACACAUGCAAGUCGAGCGAGAUACCCCUUCGGGGAUAUCUAGCGGCGGACGGGUGAGUAACACGUGGGUAACCUGCCUUAAUGAGGGGGAUAGCCUUCCGAAAGGAAGAUUAAUACCGCAUAAGAUUGUAGUUUCGCAUGAAACAGCAAUUAAAGGAGUAAUCCGCUAUGAGAUGGACCCCGCGUCGCAUUAGCUAGUUGGUGAGGUAACGGCUCACCAAGGCGACGAUGCGUAGCCGACCUGAGAGGGUGAUCGGCCACAUUGGGACUGAGACACGGCCCAGACUCCUACGGGAGGCUG
rnacentral:rRNA from 1 species